CAAGUCUUAACAUCCCUCUGAAUCCUCUAGAGAUAGAGGCGGCCUUCGGGACAGAGGUGACAGGUGGUGCAUGGUUGUCGUCAGCUCGUGUCGUGAGAUGUUGGGUUAAGUCCCGCAACGAGCGCAACCCUUGAUUUUAGUUGCCAGCACUUUAAGGUGGGCACUCUAGAAUGACUGCCGGUGACAAACCGGAGGAAGGCGGGGAUGACGUCAAAUCAUCAUGCCCCUUAGGACUUGGGCUACACACGUACUACAAUGGCUGGUACAACGGGAAGCGAAGCCGCGAGGUGGAGCCAAUCCUAUAAAAGCCAGUCUCAGUUCGGAUUGCAGGCUGCAACUCGCCUGCAUGAAGUCGGAAUUGCUAGUAAUCGCGGAUCAGCAUGCCGCGGUGAAUACGUUCCC
rnacentral:rRNA from 1 species